GACGAACGCUGGCGGCGUGCCUAAUACAUGCAAGUAGAACGCUGAAGCUUGGUGCUUGCACCGAGCGGAUGAGUUGCGAACGGGUGAGUAACGCGUAGGUAACCUGCCUGGUAGCGGGGGAUAACUAUUGGAAACGAUAGCUAAUACCGCAUAAGAGUAGAUGUUGCAUGACAUUUGCUUAAAAGGUGCAAUUGCAUCACUACCAGAUGGACCUGCGUUGUAUUAGCUAGUUGGUGAGGUAACGGCUCACCCAGGCAACGAUACAUAGCCGACCUGAGAGGGUGAUCGGCCACACUGGGACUGAGACACGGCCCAGACUCCUACGGGAGGCAGCAGUAGGGAAUCUUCGGCAAUGGACGGAAGUCUGACCGAGCAACGCCGCGUGAGUGAAGAAGGUUUUCGGAUCGUAAAGCUCUGUUGUAAGAGAAGAACGAGUGUGAGAGUGGAAAGUUCACACUGUGACGGUAUCUUACCAGAAAGGGACGGCUAACUACGUG
rnacentral:rRNA from 1 species